GGUUCUUCAAAGGAUUCUUCUUCAGAGUGCGGCGCUUCACCUCCUUGUUGAUCGGCCUCACCACCGACUGCACCUCGUCCGAGUUGAUAAUCCUAGAAAGAUCAGGGUUGGUCAUCUUAGAUCUAGGCAGCACAUACCCCUUCUUCUGAUCAGAUGCCUUCUCAAAAGUCCCAAACACCGAAUCCAGCUUCUCGAAUGCUGACUUCGUCCAGAUAAUGAACCUCCCAAGGUGCCCACCCGGUGCCAGCUUCAGAAGGUUGAGACGCUCAACAUUCGCAACAUCAACACCAGGAAUGUUACGGAACGCCUUCACGAUCUUAGCUCCCUCUGUCCCGUACACAAUCAGCGGCCCCUUGCGGUUGAUAUAGCGACGGUUCCUCAUCUUCCCCUUUCCAGGGCGGAUGGAGCGGCUGUCCUUGGCUUUCUCGGCGUCCGGGAAUGCGCCGAUCUGCUUUAGAGUUUUGAUAGCAGCCGAGGUCUUCUCAAGCGACUCGGCGGAGUCGGAGAUGACGAGGGGGAGCUCGGGGACGGACUCAAUGCGGUGACCACGGGCGAUGACGAGGGAGGGGACGGCGGAGGCAGCGAGCGCGGAGGCAACGGCGAAUCGGCGUUGGUUAGUGUUGACGCGG
rnacentral:misc_RNA from 1 species